UUGUGGUGCAGCAUGCCAUUUGGACUGGCGACACCUCCGCUGGCCGGCGGUGGUGGAGGUGGUGUGGCUGAGUACUGGUGCGGAUGUGCGGCGUGGUGAUCGAUUUUGUGCUGAUUGUUGGCAUUGGGCACAACGGUAGUGGUGUACUCGUACUUCUGAGUAGUCAGAUGUUUUGUAGGGAUCUAGUUUUGGCGAGCCACCUGGUAGAAGUGUAUUACAGUCGGGCAAUCGUUGGCUGCACAUCUCGCCACUGCCGUUGUGUUGCAGUACAGAGUUUGGCGGCAGGCCCAACAUGACUGGAUGUAGACCGUGAUGGCCAGCGCUGGAAACUCCGGUGGCGGAAGGUGCUAGAGGCUUGGCUCCUAGAGGACUAAGUGGACCUGAGAAAUCGUUGAAGAUCUGGUCAUCGAAGGGGGGCGUGCUCCAUGUUUACUUGAAAAUCGUUCAGUGCUUCACUGCUGGCGCAAAAGUUUGUGUCUAACAUCAGUGAGGAGGGUGAAGCAAGCGCUUAUGCCAAGUGAGUUGGGAAACGAAUGGAAGUUUCCUUCGAAAAAUGCCUCUUAUCGAUGAGCUAUGAACUGGAGCGCAGUUCGCGUAAAAUGCUGUAGCCGAUUAAAUUAUUUAUUUUGCUGUCUAUAGGCGCGCAUUGGGA